AUUACCAUGAAGAAAAUAAUAUCAACAGCUCAGCCAUGGACACAGUUCAAUGUUGCUAUUCACGUGAAAAGAUGUUAACUCUAAAUGGAUCACCAAUGUCUAUGUUUCGUCCACAAUCGUUUCACUCAGUAAUUUUGCUUCAUCCAGAACUUGUCCGUUUGGCUCCAUCACCGGAAUCUUGAGCUCUCUUCAUCCGUACUUUUCAUGUUCAAUAGUUUCUUUUUCGAAAUGCACACAAUUCACACCAACUCACUGUUCUCACUUUUACUUGAAAUAAAGUAAUUUCUUAUC
ensembl:lincRNA linc-36 ncRNA